rnacentral:misc_RNA from 1 species
CACUUAUGGGUGAGUCGAUCCUAA